UUGGGGGCAGUCUGUGGCUACAGGACAGGCUUCAGGGGAGGUGCUGUAGCUGGGCACAGCUGCAUGGGGCGAGCAGGGCAGAAGGAGGCUCCAGGGCAGCU